rnacentral:antisense_RNA from 1 species
CAUGGAAGUCUCCAAGCCUGUGCCAUCCACCUGCCAAGGAAAAGCACAAGCAUACAGUUUGAACAUUUAUUCGCCUCCUGAGCUUGUACAACAGUCGUGGGAGUUGCUGCAGAAGCAAGCGAAAAGCCAGAUGAGCGCUUCUAAACUUAGAGAGAGGGAGAGCGCCUCAUCUCUUCCAUUUUCCAGGUAUUCCUGAGAUGAUUUAUUGGAGCUCAAAGCUUUGGGAGAGUUGGGGCCUUCCAUUCCCUCCAGUAAAUACUUGUUUUUCUUCCACCGCUGAGGCAAAUGCGGGGUGGCUGAUCACCUGGCAGACAUCUUAGGAAACAGGAGCACCGGUCUGGGAAACUGCUGGCCUGGCCUAACACCUGGCGCUGUGGUGCAGGAGGGCAGCCACUGAGGAUUCUUGAGGAGAGAGAGACCAUAGAAUGAAUGAAAGAGUUGGAAAGACUUUAAAGCUCUGGGAGGCUGAAUCCUUUAUUUCGCUGGAAGAAAAACUGAAUGCCAAGAGGGCCUCACUUUCCCCAAAGCUAUACAGCCAUCAGGGGCAAUGCUGGGAUUCCCCCAUGGAUCUCUUGACUCCUAAUACAGUGCUCUUUCUGAUAUGCCAUCUGGCUCCAUAAUGAACAUUGUGUUCCAGGAAAAUCAGUCUGCGCUGAACAGGAUGGAAUUGGGGCAGGACGUCCAGUGAGGAGGACAUUGAGGCAGUAGAGC